AGAGCGAACGCUGGCGGCAGGCCUAAAACAUGCAAGUCGAACGCCGUAGCAAUACGGAGUGGCAGACGGGUGAGUAACACGUGGGAACGUACCCUUUGGUUCGGAACAACACAGGGAAACUUGUGCUAAUACCGGAUAAGCCCUUACGGGGAAAGAUUUAUCGCCGAAGGAUCGGCCCGCGUCUGAUUAGCUAGUUGGUGAGGUAACGGCUCACCAAGGCUACGAUCAGUAGCUGGUCUGAGAGGAUGAUCAGCCACACUGGGACUGAGACACGGCCCAGACUCCACGGGAGGCAGCAGUUAGGAAUCUUGGACAAUGGGCGCAAGCCUGAUCCAGCCAUGCGCGUGAGUGAUGAAGGACGUUAGGGUUAGUAAAGACUCGUUCUAGCGGGGAAGGAUAAAGUAGACGUACCCGACCGAGAAGAAAGACCCGGCCUAACGUUCGUGCCACGACAGCCGC
rnacentral:rRNA from 1 species